UUUUAAUUCAUCUGAAAACUGGAUCUGAAAACUUUAACAAUCGCUUUUAUGGGCUAGAUGUAGAAUAUAAGGCUAUUUUAUUGUUUGGGUAUAUCGGUUCUCUUUAAUAAUUCCAGUCGACUCCUCUGACUGUGACAGUCGUGACCAAUGUUGGACCCUCGAGCUCAAUGUGCCUCUCGUGACUGACACAUCAGAAGGAAAUCUAUUGGAUUUAUUACAAAACAACCACAUUUAUCUUUACUAAAGACAGCAAGAAGUCUGGUCAGUUGAGUGGAUUUUAUUUCGUGAAUGACACUUUUUUAUUUUUACGCAUUAGAUUUUUGUGUCUUGGUGACCUGGCUGUCAUUACGCGGUAUUGAUGGACACACACACAGGUUGUUGUUGCUGCCGGAUCUCGCGCAGUGAUAUUUAGUAGACAUCAUGUUUCUAUGCAACACAAGUGCAAUCAAAGACUGGAGCUAUUUCCUCUCUCAGAUCCUGCCACUGAUCAACAAGACGUCUGGCUUGGUCAAUCAGGGCAUCAUCGACGAAGCGGAGGUGGCGACCACCACCAUGGUGACUGCUCUAGAGCCGGACCUGAGCGGGAUAAGCGCCAGUCACCCCCCGCUGAACUCGAAUCACACCUCCGGGAUGGAACAUGUCUUUCAGUACUCGGAGAGUGACCUUCUGUAUACGGACAACAGGACACCAGCCCGGGACUCCAUCCCGCUCCCCAAGGCCGUGCUCUACCUUGUUUGCGCGGCGCUAGUGGUGGUCGCGGUGGUAUAUGCAAUAGUGGGACACCUGGUCAAGGAUCUGGUUACUGAGUUUGUAGACUGCAGGUUGUUUGGUGGCUGCAGAGUGACCAACAGGAGUAAGAGUGACAUAAACUGUAUCACCAACAGCGUGAACGAGAUGAGUGAGAUGAGCGAAAGGCCACGGUUGGUAGAGAUGAACUACAUUACCUGUAACCACAGUAACUGCCUGGGGGCGACUGCCCAACCAGAAGAGCUGAUAGUGACCAUAGACGAGACGUUACAGCUGCCCCGGGAUACACACACUGGGACCUAAACCUUGGACACAACAGUCAUCUGAUAUCGGAUAAGAGGGAAAGGAAACAGACAGUUUGCUUGGGUUUCCUUCAUAAAUGGAGCAACCUAGUCUAUCACAAACCGAUAUCCACUGUCCAUUACAGUACAGCAGUGGCAUCGUCUGAUGUUUGUCAUGAGGUUGUUAAAAUGAGGACAAAAAGUAUUGAAAAGUCUUAAAACAAAGGAGAUGGACAAUUUUACAGCACUGGAUGCAAAAGUUUGACAUUGAACUGGAUUCAUCAUCACGGUGAGGAUGAUCUGAAACAGUUAGUUUUUCUCAGAGGAAUAACUAACAAUUGGAGUGGACUGAUUCUUUUUCUGAAUUUCACCAUCCUGUCACUCAUCAUUGUGGCUUGUUCUUGGUAAGCCUUUACCUGUACACAUUGCACUCUCUAAAUGUGAUCCAAAUAUUUGACUGUGAC
rnacentral:lncRNA from 1 species